GACGAACGCUGGCGGCGCGCCUAACACAUGCAAGUCGAGCGGAGAUAUAUGAAGAGUAAUCCGAGUAUAUCUUAGCGGCGGACGGGUGAGUAACGCGUGAGUGACCUGCCUCUUACAGGGGAAUAACGUGCCGAAAGGCACACUAAUACCGCAUAAGACCACGAAACCGCAUGGUUAUGAGGUCAAAGGAGCAAUCCGGUAAGAGAUGGGCUCGCGUCCGAUUAGAUAGUUGGUGAGGUAACGGCCCACCAAGUCGACGAUCGGUAGCCGACCUGAGAGGGUGAUCGGCCACAUUGGAACUGAGAGACGGUCCAAACUCCUACGGGAGGCAGCAGUGGGGAAUAUUGGGCAAUGGGGGAAACCCUGACCCAGCGACGCCGCGUGAGGGAAGAAGGUUUUCGGAUUGUAAACCUCUGUUCUUGGUGAAGAGGGGAAGACGGUAGCCAAGGAGGAAGCCCCGGCUAACUACGUGCCAGCAGCCGCGGUAAACGUGCGUGCUGGGACUGCCAAGGCACG
rnacentral:rRNA from 1 species